UUCUCGACAUUACAUUUUAAGCGUUUUUAUGUCUGGGUUCUCUUUUGUUGGUCUCUUUCGUCUGUGUCUUCUCCCUUCGAUGAUCAAAUAGCGGCACAGAAACAACAGGAGAACAACACAAAGAGGCCGAAGAACAAGCACAGGUGUUGAGAAUUGGGGGUGCAGGCUAGGCCGGUGUGUGAUCUUGCAUGUCGACAAGGUGUACAAGAAGUGUUUUCUUUUUUCUUUGGUGAAUUCCAGAAUUGUUUUCUGUCACGUGUUUAACUUAAUGUUGUACUACUUUUUCUACAAAAUGACUGGAGUGCUCAUUUGUGGAGGACGAUUGUUGACCUUGAGGUGAAUUAUUUGCCCCUUUCCAAUAUUUUCUGGUUAUAGGCUCCUAGAAUUGGUCUAAAGUAAUGAAAAUUGUUGUAGUUACUUGUCUUGCCAUUUUCUAGUCCUCUGCUUGCUGAUGUGAUGUUUGAUGUAUGCAUUAUGGAUGAUCUUCAUUGCAUCUAAAGAUUGUUAAUAUAUAUACGAGGAUUGUUUUGAGGUUUUUCCAUCCACGUUAAAAAAAUUUUGGUGGUCUCUUUUAAUAUAAUGGAUUUGCAUAUGUCUCAAACUCUUGACUGUCCCCCUGCUUUUUAAGCAUUCCUAUUUUUUUUCUGAGUUCUCUUCCCCACUGUACUCCACUUCUCUCUUCAAAGUUCAAAUGGUGAGCCAAACAACUAAAGAAGUCAAAGAACACGUACAAGUGCUCAUUGUCUCUAUCCACUGCCAAGCCUUCCAAAGGAAAGUCAAGAAAACAUUCUUCAACAAUUCAAUGUUGCACCCUUCUUGAUUGAAAUUGAAAAGCUGUUCAUUGUUUCUAAAGUUGUAAUUUUUUUCCCCUAGUU